GCAAACUUGGUCAUUUAGAGGAAGUAAAAGUCGUAACAAGGUUUCCGUAGGUGAACCUGCGGAAGGAUCAUUAACAGUGAGCCCUGCUCCGAGCAGGGACUACACCUCUUACCACAAAGUGAUCUCCUGGGUUAAGAAGUUUUUCCAGACCCGGUGAGUGUCCUUUGAAGUGUAAUGCGUCCACCCAUUGUGAAACUUAACCUAUGCUUCGGCAGCACUCUUAGCGGCCUAAAAAACCGCUAGAGGGGUAAGGCUGUCAGAAGCCCACUAUCAAACUAGUUGAUGAAAUGUCAUGCAGUCUGAUAACUACUAUUUGAGAAAUCAAAUUACAUUAAAACUUUCAGCAACGGAUCUCUUGGUUCUCGCAUCGAUGAAGAACGCAGC
rnacentral:misc_RNA from 1 species